UCUCUAAGCAUACAGAGUUGCGAUCAUUUGUUAGAGGUUGCCAAUCUUCCUCCGUCUAUCAAGAUCUUGGACAUUUAUUGCUGCGGCAACCUUCAAUCCCUAUCAGGAAAGCUACAUGUCGUCCAAAAAUUAACUAUUCAGUUCUGCGGUAGGUUAAAGUCACUGGAAUCUUGCGUAGGAGAGCUCCGAUCUCUGGAAAAACUCACGCUUGAUGGUUGCGGAAGCCUAGUGUCCUUACCGGAUGGGCCUGAAGCAUACUCAUCUCUUAGAUAUCUUCAGUUUUAUGAUUGUGAUGGUAUAAAGUUGCUUCCGUGGAGCCUACGGAGCCGUUUGGAUUGCCUCGAGGUGAAACGUAUAGAUUCCCGUUACGAAGGAUCACGGCCUGAUCUGCCAGAAACGACUUGGAAACAUGCAAUCAGAACGCUGGCGUGCUUGAAAUAGCAGAUUGAGGACCUAAUAAAGAAAGUUACCAUCAAGUUUUUUUUGAGGGGAUAUCACCAAGGAUCGUUAUUACCAGACUCGUGACCGUGGUAGAAUGUAUAACAUACACUUACUGAAGAUAAUCUCCAGUGAACUCCAUCGGAAGUCCAAGAUUUUAAGCAGCAAACCAGUCCCAGAACGCAGGCUGAAGAAUUUAGCACAUGGAGCUCCGUGCUCGAGUCCUUUAUGCUUCUUCAAGCUGAAGUCCUUUAUUUUGAGCAGAAAACAAGUCCCAGAGUGCAAUCUGAAGAAUUAUAGCAUACCGAGCUCCAUGAUCCAGCUUUUUAUCCUUCUCUUUUCUUUUGAACUGUGACGUGUUUGAAUUCGUGCCUGCUCCAGCACAAGCGAAACACAGCUAGGGCUUCCAUUUCGUGA